GCCUAGCUACAGGAGGUGGCCACUUCAGUCUCUGUAUCUCCUGCUACUAGGAGUCUCAGCCAUCUGGUUGUCCCUGGUGUUGACUGAAUGUUUAUGAUGGCAGCAGGACUCCUCAAGGAGGCAGGCAGAACCUGACAAUGGAUCUGAGGAACUAGGACACUACUCACCUCUGCUGCCUGUGCCCCAGAUGGACCCGACUGGCUGGAUAAGAUUUUCUUAAGUCACAACUUUCUGAGAUGCUUUUCUUGGUUCUCAGAGUACUUCACGUUCGCAGGUGCACUUCAAACUCUUGAGCCCAGGGAUGUAUUUCCAGUGAGAAAAAGUAUGUAUGCCUACAGAAUUAGCAUCAGAAGCUAAUCUGUGCUUAUUUUUUAACUGGGGCUCCUUUUAAAUUGUCCCAUCUCAUAAUGUUAGAGUUUCAUGGGAAGCUUCAAUAAAGGGAGGAGAUGAGCAAUAUAACUUCUUUUCAAUGCUCCCUAGCAAGAGGGAUGCUCUUGACCUUCAACUACACCCAGUACUUCCCAAUUCUCCCAAGCACUCCAAUGCUUUCUGACGCUGCUGAUGUCUGAGUGUUACUAUUCUGUCAUUAUUUUGUUUUUCAACUCAGAUCAGUUUGCAAGCUCGCAUCUUUCUGAGGACCAGUAACUAACUAUACACAAGCCCCAAGUGUGUACACGUAGGCAAGUAGAAUUGCUGUGGAAUGCAUGAGGUAAAUUGAUUUGCACCUACAAUUUGCAUUUGUUUUCAGGUAUGUUUGACACUAAUGUCAUGACUGAAGGACUGUGAUGAAGAUUAAUAGUGUAAACAUUUUUUGCUGAUUUUGUAA
rnacentral:lncRNA from 1 species